GUAAUUUUGGAAUUUACUAAACAACAGAAAGAAGAAGAUACAAUUCAAGUAUUUAAUGUUACUCAGUUAGGAACAGAGGCCACAGUGAGAACUUUCGACCUAACUGUGGUGUCUAAUUUAAAGAAGAUCAGCUUGGAUUACCAUGAAAUUCAAGGCUGAUAAGAGUGGACCUAGUUUUCAAACCACUUUUGAAAAAACUGAACAGACAUUUAAGGUGGCCUUUUCCUCUUUGAACUUGUUGCUGCAAACCCAAGCUCUUCUCUCUUCUAUUAACUACCUGACAACCAUCCUUCCCUCAGAUGGCCUUGGAGGCCAUCCUGACCCAGGGACAGGCCAGCUUCCAGAUAGGUGUUACAAGCCAAGAGCCCAGAUUUCAGAAAGGAAAGUGCUCAGUUCAGAGUCUGACCUUCCUACUUAAACUAUGUGGCUGUAGGUGCAUUGUUUAGCUAUUCAGAAUUUUAUUGUCCUUAUUUACUUUGUUUUACAGAACGUCACCAACUUACUGACAUUCAGACUGAACUAUAAGAUGCAUUUUGUUGGCUUACGAACAAAUCUGGAAUAGAAUUUGUUCAUAGUCGGGGACUGACUCUUCUUUUUAAAUUGCAAAAGGAACGUCUACUAAAAAGCCUAG
rnacentral:lncRNA from 1 species